AAUCUGGCUCUUUCAGAGUCCGAGUUGUAAUUUGAAGAAGGUAUCUUUGGGUCUGGCUCUUGUCUAUGUUUCUUGGAACAGAACGUCACAGAGGGUGAGAAUCCCGUGCGAUGAGAUGAUCCAGGCCUAUGUAAAGUUCCUUCGAAGAGUCGAGUUGUUUGGGAAUGCAGCUCUAAGUGGGUGGUAAAUUCCAUCUAAAGCUAAAUAUUGGCGAGAGACCGAUAGCGAACAAGUACAGUGAUGGAAAGAUGAAAAGAACUUUGAAAAGAGAGUGAAAAAGUACGUGAAAUUGUUGAAAGGGAAGGGCUUGAGAUCAGACUUGGUAUUUUGUAUGUUACUUCUUCGGGGGUGGCCUCUACAGUUUAUCGGGCCAGCAUCAGUUUGGGCGGUAGGAGAAUUGCGUUGGAAUGUGGCACGGCCUCGGUUGUGUGUUAUAGCCUUCGUCGAUACUGCCAGCCUAGACUGAGGACUGCGGUUUAUACCUAGGAUGUUGGCAUAAUGAUCUUAAGUCGCCCGUCUUG
rnacentral:rRNA from 1 species